UNNNNNUGGNCGCNGGNUUNUUANAGAGACUAUCAACUCAAGUUGAUGGAAGUUUGAGGCAAUAACAGGUCUGUGAUGCCCUUAGAUGUUCUGGGCCGCACGCGCGCUACACUGACAGAGCCAACGAGUUCUUCACCUUGUUCGAAAGAAUUGGGUAAUCUUGUUAAACUCUGUCGUGCUGGGGAUAAAGCAUUGCAAUUAUUGCUUUUCAACGAGGAAUGCCUAGUAAGCGCGUGUCAUCAGCAUGCGUUGAUUACGUCCCUGACCUUUGUACACACCGCCCGUCGCUACUACCGAUUGAAUGGCUC
rnacentral:rRNA from 1 species